UACGUAGGCAGCAAGCGUUGUUCGGAAUUACUGGGCGUAAAGCGAGUGUAGGCGGUCUGUCAAGUCCGUUGUGAAAUCUCCCGGCUCAACUGGGAGGGUGCGCCGGAAACUGACAGGCUAGAGUGCGGUAUGGGAGAGUGGAAUUCCUGGUGUAGCGGUGAAAUGCGUAGAUAUCAGGAGGAACACCGGUGGUGAAGACGGCUCUCUGGACCGCUACUGACGC
rnacentral:rRNA from 1 species